rnacentral:rRNA from 1 species
UACGUAGGUGGCGAGCGUUGUCCGGAUUUACUGGGCGUAAAGAGCGCGCAGGCGGUCGUUUAAGUCGGGUGUGAAAGCCCCCGGCUCAACUGGGGAGGGUCAUUCGAUACUGGUCGACUCGAAGGCAGGAGAGGGAAGUGGAAUUCCCGGUGUAGUGGUGAAAUGCGUAGAUAUCGGGAGGAACACCAGUGGCGAAGGCGACUUCCUGGCCUGUUCUUGACGCUGAGGCGCGAAAGCUAGGGGAGCAAACGGG